AGGUGAUAAACCAUGGAGUAUCAAGAAAAGUAGUGGAAGACACUACGAGGACUUUAAAGGAGUUUCAUUCUAUGUCACCACAAGAUAGAAAUAGGGAAUGUUCCAAAGACAAUAAAAGCUGCAGAAUUUUCACAAGCUCCAACAACUAUGCCAAUGAACAAACACACUUCUGGAGAGAUUGUUUGACUUUAGCUUGUCAUCCUCUAGACAAAAAUAUUAAUUUUUGGCCAAAAAAUCCUCCUAAAUUCAAGUAAAAAUAGCAUGAUUUAGAGUAAAUAAUUUACAAUAAUUUUCUUCUAAAAUACCAUACGACCAAUAUUUUUAAAGAACAUUUUACU
rnacentral:misc_RNA from 1 species